GAAGGGUGCAAGCGUUACUCGGAAUUACUGGGCGUAAAGCGUGCGUAGGUGGUUCGUUAAGUCUGAUGUGAAAGCCCUGGGCUCAACCUGGGAAUGGCAUUGGAUACUGGCGACCUAGAGUGCGGUAGAGGGGUGUGGAAUUCCCGGUGUAGCAGUGAAAUGCGUAGAUAUCGGGAGGAACAUCUGUGGCGAAGGCGACACCCUGGACCAGCACUGACACUGAGGCACGAAAGCGUGGGGAGCAAACAGGAUUAGAUACCCUGGUAGUCCACGCCCUAAACGAUGCGAACUGGAUGUUGGGUGCAACUUGGCACUCAGUAUCGAAGCUAACGCGUUAAGUUCGCCGCCUGGGAAGUACGGUCGCAAGACUGAA
rnacentral:rRNA from 1 species